GACGAACGCUGGCGGCGUGCCUAAUACAUGCAAGUAGAACGCAGUUGCGAACGGGUGAGUAACGCGUAGGUAACUGCCUCAUAGCGGGGGAUAACUAUUGGAAACGAUAGCUAAUACCGCAUACUGUGAGAUGGACCUGCGUUGUAUUAGCUAGUUGGUGAGGUAAAGGCUCACCAAGGCGACGAUACAUAGCCGACCUGGGAGGGUGAUCGGACAAAACGGGACUGGGGCACGGCCCAGACUCCUAAGGGAGGGAGCCGUAGGGAAAUUUUGGCAAGGGACGGAAGGCUGAACACGCAACGCCGGGGGAGUGAAGAAGGUUUUCGGGUCGGAAAGCUAUGUUGUGAGAGAAGCGGUAACUAAACAGAAAGGGACGGCUAACUACGUGCCAGCCGCCGCGGUAAUUC
rnacentral:rRNA from 1 species